AAGUGUUUACAAAUGUGUGGCAGCAGAGACGAAGCUGUUUCUAAACGUUGGCAUAAUUCUAAAUCAAACAGGAGACAGUCAAAAAGUAGAGUGAGAAAGAAAAAACGUAGUUUGUUCAAUCUCCAGGUACCUCUGAUACUGCACUGCUAAAACUCGAACUUGAUACGGCCUACAAGAGAAAAUGCCUUCUGAAAAUCAUCAGGGCAAAUUCUCCUUUUUUGUGGAGGUACACAAGGACAGCACUGCACAUUAGCGGACGAUCCCUCAGCAUUGCUGUUGAACGUCGCUACGCUGCCUACGAACCAAAGAUUACCUUUUGUGUUUUGCUUAG